rnacentral:rRNA from 1 species
AACUGCCGUUGACAAAACGGAGGAAGGUGGGAUGGACGUCAAAUCAUCAUGCCCCUUAUGUUCUGGGCGUACACACGUGCUACAAUGGCCGGUACAGACGGACGCAAAGCCGCGAGGUGGGAGCAAAUCCUAAAAAGCCGGUACUCAGUUCGGAUUGCAGGCUGCAAUUCGCCUGCAUGAAGUCGGAAUCGCUAGUAAUCGCAGGUCAGCAUACUGCGGUGAAUACGUUCCCGGGCCUU